rnacentral:tRNA from 1 species
AAGGAUGGGUCUUCAAGAAGCUUGCUCUUAUCGACCUGUUUUAGAAACAUCAGGAAGCUCUAAGUCAUACGAGCUCCAUUGGCGGGACCCGCCGUCUUCGUUUCUCUUUCUUCGCGGACGAACACGCGCCUGGGGUGGCGCUGCGCUGUUAGCUUUGAAGCUUUGCGCAGGAUUUCUGCCUCUCGUGCUGAGGGCUUGUAGCUCAGUUGGUUAGAGCGCGCGCUUGAUAAGCGUGAGGUCGGAAGUUCAAGUCUUCCCAGGCCCACCAUUUUAUCGAGCGCUGCAUUCGUCUUCUGGUUACGGGGCCAUAGCUCAGCUGGGAGAGCGCGUGCUUUGCAAGCAUGAGGUCGUCGGUUCGAUCCCGUCUGGCUCCACCAGAUGGGCGACCCUUGAUGACGGCUUGCGCCGGUUAUUCGUCCGCGAGACACAACUUCGCGUGCUGCCUUCAUGGCAAGCAUUGCGGGAUAUCUGACAUCGUGAAGAGGAGAUCGAUCCGAGUUCGGAUCUGUGGCGUCAAGCUGCGGUUCUGAUCACUAUCUCCGGAUCAUUUUUCGGCGCUUGGCCAUCGGCCAAGUUGUAAAAAUGAUCUUUGUUGGCGACGCUUGACCGCAUCGCCAUCGGUUCGAUCUUAUGAAGCAAGCUGGUCUUUCUAAUCAAUGAUCCGUCUGCAUGUGAUGCGCCUCACCCGCGCGCUUCUCUCUUGAGAAGCUAGCCUGCAGAACAUUCUGCCGAGUGUGUGGACAUUGAUAAUGAGAGCAAUCAA